AUCAUUUUGGAGGGAAAACAACAGCACAAACAAUUAAUAUCAUAGCAAUAACAACGAUUUUUCAGUUGGUGAGUUGAAGAAGCA